GUUCACCGCGUAAAGCUCGCGGCAGUAAAUUAAAGUAGAGUUGCAUAGAUACUGCAGAGGCAACCUCCUUGCUAGAUAAUCAUUCUGCGAACAACAAGAAGGACAUAUUUGCCUUUUAAGGCGUAAAAUGAAGGGCUUUGUUUUCAUCGUUUGGCUUGCUGUGGAUUUUCAAUGUGUCCUUAAUUCCCCGACUCUUGGAUCUAAAAAUAAUCCCAGACUUCUGACCAAAGAUAUAAUCAAUGAUGUAUUUGAAUACCAGGUCUAUCAGAACCACAGUGUGUUCUUCUAUCAUGAUAACUUUGAGGAGAUGUACGUUGGAGGCACGGAUUUUGUGUUAAAACUUGAUGUGGAUGACUAUCAUAUUAUAGAGAAAUUUCUUCUGAAAACCCAGUGCCAAGAGGGUCAGUGUGCAAAUGUCAUCACUGUGAUCGAGAAGUUUCAGGACAGCCUGUUUGUCUGUGGAACAAAUGGACACAAACCACAGUGUUGGAAGCUUGUAAGUUUUUCGUCAGUAAACAACCAGUCUCAUGAAAUAGUGGAGAGUUAUGAGGGGACUGGCAUCUCUCCGUUCGUGUACACACAUAACUCCAUAUGUCUCACAAUAGAGGGGGACCUUUAUUCAGCAGCACCUUUGAAUGCUGAUGGAAGUUCAUUACAAUUCAGAAGGAAAGCUGGCAGCAGAACUAAUGUCUGGAUGUAUGACAACUGGGUCUCAGAGCCCAUGUACAUCUCUGUGUCCUGGGUGAAGCGUGGGGAAGACCCUCACAACGAGAAAAUCUACAUCUUUUUCCGUGAAAAGAACUCUGAUCACAACCGGGAGGCUGACCCCUGGAUUUCGAGGGUUGCCAGAGUUUGUAAGGUAGAUGAAGGCGGAUCAAAAAGAUUCUUCCAAAACAUGUGGACAUCUUUCCUCAAAGCGCGGCUUGUCUGUGGGUUUCCAGAGGAGUCGCUGUAUUUCAACCGACUCCAAGACAUUUAUGUGAUGCAUGCUGAGGACUGGCAUGACACAAAGGUCUAUGCCCUGUUUACAAGCAGCUGGAACUCCACUGCAGUCUGCAUCUAUUCAAUUGGAAUGAUUGAAGAAAUAUUUGAGAACUCAACUUUCAAGGGCUACAACGAAGUCAUUCCCAAUCCAAGGCCAGGAACGUGUGUAAAAAACAGCAGGACCCUGCCACUGGCCACUGUCAAUGUGGUGAAGGAUUACCCAGAGAUGACUGACUGGAUUCACUCUGUGCAUUAUAGAGCCCCAUUUUAUAUAAGCAGCAACAACUACACCAAGAUAGCUGUGGACCGAGUCCAGGCGGCAGACCAGCGCAUGUAUAACGUUCUGCUUUUGGCUACUGAUUUGGGAAAGAUCCAUAAAGUCUUAGAGGCUGGGUCAGAACCUUUCAUCAUCUCUGAAACACAACUCUCCAGCCGUUCAGCCAUACAAUCAAUGAAGCUGGACUCCAAAAAGAAAAGGUUAGUGGUAGGUUUUUCGGAUAAGAUUUCUGUCAUGGAUCUCCAGACGUGUCAGGAGAAUAAGUCCUGUGCAGAUUGUGUUCUGGCCCGGGAUCCGUACUGUGCCUGGACGACGUUUGGAUGUACCCCGACUGUCCCUGGGGGCAUUCAAAAUAUCAUUGAUGGGAACAGUACUGUGUGUCCUUCAUCAGGAGAAGAACAAAAACAAGUAAACCGGACCAAACGGGAGACGGUUUUACCAUCACCAGUGGAUUUGAGGACAGCUCACUCGGUCCCACUGGGUGUCCCUUUCUAUCUGUCCUGUCCUAUAGACUCUUACCAUGCUGUUUACACCUGGGAGCAUGGAGGCCAGAGCAGCCCUUGUCUGCAAAUGCAAUCUAACUGCCUGCACCUCAUCCCCAACAUGGCACAAGAGAACUAUGGCGACUACAAGUGUCUUUCCAAAGAGAAAGACUACACUAAAGUGGUGAAAAUGUAUCAGCUUACAGAGCAGAUGAUCCCAGAUACAAAUGAAAAUACUGACAAAAGUAAACCCUUUUUCAGAACAACUGAUGCGUCAGCUGUGGUGCAGCAGAAAGCAUGGAUCACCUUUGGACUGGCUGUAACAGUGUUGGGGAUUUUUUGAUAGGUGCAUCUGCAAAAACUACUAAUUAUACGUUACACUCCUUUCUCUUUGAAAACGUUUCUAUUUUUCCUGAUCUCAUGAGAUGUACCUCCUUCCACUUGAAUCAGAACGGAUUUGAGAUGUUUGUUGCUUUACUGAGUGUGCUCACUUCUGACAUUGAAGUUUUUUGUUAAAGGCUACUUUUCCAGUCAAUUAUUUAUAUUAAAUUGAGAGAUUAUGUAACUUUUGUCAAAAAGUAGCCACUCUUGCCACAAGUAAUAAGUAUAGGAUAAAUAAUAA